AACGUAGGAGACAAACGUUAUCCGGAGUUACUGGGCGUAAAGGGCGUGUAGGCGGUUUGUUAAGUCUGGCGUGAAAGCUCUCGGCUAAACCGGGAGAGGUCGUUGGAUACUGGCAAACUAGAGGACGGUAGAGGCGUGUGGAAUUCCACGUGUAGCAGUGAAAUGCGUAGAGAUGUGGAGGAACACCGAUGGCGAAGGCAGCCCCCUGGGCUAACACUGACGCUCAUGCACGAAAGCGUGGGGAGCAAACAGG
rnacentral:rRNA from 1 species